GGGGUUGUGGCUCAAUGGUAGAGCACUUACCUAGCAUGUGUGAGGCCCUGGGUUUGAUCCUCAGCACCA
rnacentral:tRNA from 1 species